rnacentral:sRNA from 1 species
CAUGGUGGUGUGUGCCUGUAGUCCCAGCUACUAAGGAGGCUGAGGCAGGAGGAUUAAUUGAACCCAGGAGUUACAGUCCAAUGUGGGCAACAUAGCAAGACCCUGUCUUAGGAGGGGGUGUGUGUGUGUGCAUGUGUGCGUGCGCGCGUGUGUAAUAGCAAUAUCAAUUUUGUGCAAUAAAAUUUUGAAUAACCAAUUUUAUGCAAAUUGAUAUCAAUAGAGAGGAGUAAUGCUGUAUUGAAAUUACCUGUUGCCUUCCCUGCUUUUUUAGGGUGAAAAGGUAAUAAAAAGCAUGUGUAAAGUGAUAUGAAUUGCAGAUAGUGAUAAUGUAACAUUUUGGUGACAUAAGUAAUACUUGCUUCUUUAAUAGAUUAGAUUACUAAAAGGAAGUCCCUUCAAAUUACCCUUGAUUUUUCACGUGUGUACCCUUUGUCCAUUCCAGACCUGUUAACUGUCCUUAACUUUUGGCUUAGAAAUGGUGAUUUCUUUGCUAACAUGGUAGUAGAUGCUGUACUUGCUAUUAAAUACACAGACAUAAGAGGCCAGCCACGUUAUCCCGUCAAUUCUGUUAAUAUUUUGAAAGCCCAUGGGAGAAGUCAAAUGGAGAGUAUGCUCAUCAGUGGCUAUGCACUUAACUGUGUGGUGGGAUCCCAGGGCAUGCCCAAGAGAAUCGUAAAUGCAAAAAUUGCUUGCCUUGACUUUAGCCUGCAAAAAACAAAAAUGAAGCUUGGUGUACAGGUGGUCAUUACAGACCCUGAAAAACUGGACCAAAUUAGACAGAGAGAAUCAGAUAUCACCAAGGAGAGAAUUCAGAAGAUCCUGACAACUGGUGCCAAUGUUAUUCUAACCACUGGUGGAAUUGAUGAUA